CGGACGGGUGAGUAACGCGUGAGAAUCUGCCCUCAGGAGGGGGAUAACAGUUGGAAACGACUGCUAAUACCCCAUAUGCCGAAAGGUGAAACGAAUUUCGCCUGGGGAUGAGCUCGCGUCUGAUUAGCUUGUUGGUGGGGUAAAGGCCUACCAAGGCUUCGAUCAGUAGCUGGUCUGAGAGGACGAUCAGCCACACUGGGACUGAGACACGGCCCAGACUCCUACGGGAGGCAGCAGUGGGGAAUUUUCCGCAAUGGGCGAAAGCCUGACGGAGCAACGCCGCGUGAGGGAUGAAGGCCUUUGGGCUGUAAACCUCUUUUCUCAAGGAAGAAGAUCUGACGGUACUUGAGGAAUAAGCCACGGCUAAUUCCGUGCCAGCAGCCGCGGUAAUACGGGAGUGGCAAGCGUUAUCCGGAAUUAUUGGGCGUAAAGCGUCCGCAGGCGGCCGUCUAAGUCUGUUGUUAAAUCGUGGAGCUUAACUCCAUCACGGCAAUGGAAACUGUUCGGCUUGAGUGUGGUAGGGGCAGAGGGAAUUUCCGGUGUAGCGGUGAAAUGCGUAGAUAUCGGGAAGAACACCAGUGGCGAAAGCGCUCUGCUAGGCCAUUACUGACGCUCAUGGACGAAAGCCAGGGGAGCGAAAGGGAUUAGAUACCCCUGUAGUC
rnacentral:rRNA from 1 species